CCCCCCCAAUCCCGCGCCCUCCCGGCCUCUCCCUAGCUGCAGGAGGUUCCUUGGACUCCUUGACUAACAUCGCGCCCCCACUCCCACCCCCAAUACACUGCCUCCCGCCCCCUCCCUUCCCACCAGGUCCGGGCGUUGCGCCCUGGGUGGGUGGAUGGAUGUGGAGAGGCAGGGUUGGGCCAGGGCCCUGCAGCCGGUCCGGAGCCGCCCGAGCCUGGGGCUAAGUCUUGGAAAAGCCCGGAGUCUCCUCCCAGAGGCUCAGCAGCCGGGAGAGGCCUCCUCCCCGGCCCUGCGCCAAGCCCGCCUGACAAAGUUCGGAAGCUGCGGUGCAGUUCCGCUAGCGCCAUUUUCUCGCACUUGUGGCUGGGCCAGGUUACCUAGCAUCUGUGUCCCGGCGCAGACUCUUCUCUACCUUGGAUCCCAGCCCCUGCCUCUCUCUAUAGACUGCCUGGGAAGAUGGGGCGAUCCCCCAGUUGAGAGUCCCGGGAAGGGGGGCAGGCGGCGGGGUCGGGCUGGAGCGCCGCGGCUGGCCCGUGUCUCCCUCGCGGCGGCACCAUUGUUCCGGGAUUGCUGUGACCGCCACAAAGUGAAACCCUUCGGCACGGGCUUGGGGCAGCUGCCACCGAAGCCAGGCCCGGGAUUCAGAUCCGGGAGAAUCUCAACUCUUGAGAAAUCAGCUCCUGUUCACCGCUUCCGCAACUCGAGGAAAUGAAACGCCAUUAAUAUUUGAAAAGGCAAUUAUUUUCCUAUUGAAUCGAGAACUGUCUUCAUGAAUAAUUUGUAGUGAGGUCUAUUGCCAUUUGAGAAACAUUUUGUUUUUUGUUUCUCUCUCUGUCUCUCUUUUCAUUACUUAGGAGGGGGGUUUGAAGGAAACGCCGGAGCAGGCGAGGCUCAGAUUUUUUUUUUUUUUUUUAACUCCAGCGAUAAUGAAUCAGGACCGCCAGUGGAAAGAACGCACUUAGAAUUCUGUCCUGAAUAGACGCAAACCUGAGCCAGCCUGGGCGCACUGAACUUGCUUCUCUGCUGUAGGUCGAUUGCACUAAGAAUUUAACCAUUUUCUGCUUCAUGGACUUCAAACAGUAGGCCGGCAAAGAGCAGUAAAAGUUUGUUUGUAUAAAAAACCCCUGUCAUUAAAAAUGAGUUCCUUCUCUGGCUCAGGACUGCGCUUCUAUCUUCGCAGUACCGGCGGUCAGCUCCUGGAGUAGCGACCCUGUGGGAGAUGGAACUUGAGGAAAUCCAGCCCCGAGGGCCCAGAAGAGGCCGCCUGCUUCCCCAGAGGGUCCGCACGAGUGCCGAAUACUGACCUGUGGCUUGCCCUGGCGCGGACACUCCUCCCAGAAGCAGAUGUGGUUGGCCUGCUCCGGGCCGCCGACGUGUUCCACGGUGACGUGCGUGACCAGCUCGUGCAUGGUGCUGAAAGUUUUGGAG